rnacentral:rRNA from 1 species
UGGGGAAUAUUGCACAAUGGAGGGAACUCUGAUGCAGCGACGCCGCGUGAACGAAGAAGGCUUUCGAGUCGUAAAGUUCUUUUAUAUGGGAAGAUAAUGACGGUACCAUAAGAAAAAGCCCCGGCUAACUACGUGCCAGCAGCCGCGGUAAUACGUAGGGGGCUAGCGUUGUCCGGAAUCACUGGGCGUAAAGGGUUCGCAGGCGGAAAUGCAAGUCAGGUGUAAAAGGCAGUAGCUUAACUACUGUAAGCAUUUGAAACUGCAUAUCUUGAGAAGAGUAGAGGUAAGUGGAAUUUUUAGUGUAGCGGUGAAAUGCGUAGAUAUUAGGAGGAAUACCGGUGGCGAAGGCGACUUUCUGGACUGUUACUGACGCUCAGGUACGAAAGCGUGGGGAGCAAACAGG